rnacentral:rRNA from 1 species
GGGAUUAGAUACCCCACUAUAAGGAGCCCAAACUAAACCGCUGAAGCACUAAAACUUCCAUAGUUAAAACUUAAAGAGCAUGGCGGCGGCCUAAAUUUUCAGGGGAACUUACCCGGUAAUUGAUAACCCUCAAGAGGUGCUACGUGUUUUUACCGUUUGUAUACCGCCGUCUUCAGGUGUCGUCUAAGAUAGCACCAGCCCUCCAAAAGAGAGAAGACAGGCCAUGGUGCAGCUUAUAAAUACGGACUGGGCGAGUUACAAUUAAAAAUGUUAUCAAAACCCAAGAAUAAAAACUUAAUUGAAGAUGGACUUGAAAGUAAUUAAUAAGAAAAUACUUCUUGAAUUUUUCUUGGGCCGUGCACACACCGCCCGUCACCC